GUAGGUGGCAAGCGUUGUCCGGAAUUAUUGGGCGUAAAGCGCGCGCAGGCGGUUCUUUAAGUCUGAUGUGAAAGCCCACGGCUCAACCGUGGAGGGUCAUUGGAAACUGGAGAACUUGAGUACAGAAGAGGAAAGCGGAAUUCCACGUGUAGCGGUGAAAUGCGUAGAGAUGAGGAGGAACACCAGUGGCGAAGGCGGCUUUCUGGUCUGUAACGGACGCUGAGGCGCGAAAGCGUGGGGAGCAAACAGGGAUUAGAUACCCUGGUAGUCCACGCCGUAAACGAUGAGUGCUAAGUGUUAGGGGGGUUUCCGCCCCCUUAGUGCUGCAGCUAACGCAUUAAGCACUCCGCCUGGGGAUACGGCCGCAAGGCUG
rnacentral:rRNA from 1 species